AUUGAACGCUGGCGGCAUGCCUUACACAUGCAAGUCGAACGGCAGCACGGGAGCAAUCCUGGUGGCGAGUGGCGAACGGGUGAGUAAUGUAUCGGAACGUACCUUUCAGUGGGGAGUAACGUAGCGAAAGUUACGCUAAUACCGCAUAUUCUGUGAGCAGGAAAGCAGGGGAGUCGCAAGACCUUGCGCUGAUUGAGCGGCCGAUAUCAGAUUAGCUAGUUGGUGAGGUAAAGGCUCACCAAGGCGACGAUCUGUAGCGGGUCUGAGAGGAUGAUCCGCCACACUGGAACUGAGACACGGUCCAGACUCCUACGGGAGGCAGCAGUGGGGAAUUUUAGACAAUGGGCGCAAGCCUGAUCCAGCCAUGCCGCGUGAGUGAAGAAGGCC
rnacentral:rRNA from 1 species